UUGACGACAUUAUUAGACCAUUUUUUCACUGGUAAAAUGAAACAAAAGAUUGUGUAAAUACACCUACUGAAUAUGAAACCUUCUGUGCCACAUUUGCACUGUGCAUUCAGCAUGCAGUUUAUUCAUAUAAAGUGUGCUACAUUUUGAAAUGUCUAAACUAUAUUUUCCUUUAUUUUCAGAUAACAGCGUAAAUGGGGAAUUUUAUACCUGCAAUCUGCGAAAAAAAAAUAAAAAAAUAAAUUUAAAUGUUUCAAGUGAUGUUGCUGAGAUUACAAGGUCAAACACAUGGAAGGGAAAGCUGAUCAAAAAGGAUAUUUCAAAAAAGCCAAGUGUGGAAAUUGGAUCCGUCAAUGCUUCUUUAAGCGGUGUCAUAGGCAUAGCUGACACUAUUGACAGACCACCAGCGGCCACGGCAGAAGGUGUUUAUGCUAACACUGGUGCAUAUGCAACUGGUAAUGAAUAUAAACCAGGAAAGAGACUCCCCAAGGCUAGAGCUUUUGCAGAAGCAGGAGUUGGACGAGCUCGAGCUGAAGUCGGUAUUUAUGAAGCAGAAGCUAAAGGCCCCAAUGCAUCAGCUGAGGCUGAAGCCAGUACAACUUUAAGAGCAUCAGCAAUGGCUCGAGCUGAAAUCGGCAGUCUAUCAGCUAGUGCCGGUCCAGUCGGUGUGAGAUUGGGUCUUGGAGUUGACACGGGUGUAUCUAUUGGUUUGGAUGGGCUGGAGGUCAGAGUCCUGGGAUUUGGAUUCUCAGUUGGUCCAAGAACCAGUAUUUCUCUUCUGGGAUCAGAAGUGUCAUGUUCAAUCUUGUAGACAUACAGGUGGUUUUCAUUAGAUUACACCUGUUUGGAUUCAACCAUUGUGAAGAUUAAUGGACAACAACAAUUGCAGAAGAUGACGACUAAUGAUGAUAACAAUUCCUAUUGCAUUAUAAAUGUUGUUCUAGUCAUUGCA
rnacentral:lncRNA from 8 species